CUAUGUUUCACUCUGAGACCGCUUGCCGAUCAAAUUCCAACCCACUAUGGAUCAGACAUGGAUGUUGAAAUGGGUGUGGAUAUAAAGGAUGUUUUUAUGUUGCAAUAGAAGAGCUCCUAUAACAAUAUCUGAAAGGUUGUACAAAUCUCUGUGGACACAACAGAAUUCUCCUUUCCACACUGCCUGCACCACCUUUGAUAGAAACACCCCUAGACUGAAAUGUUAAAUCGUUUUAAAGUUUUUUUUUUUAAGAGGGCAUAAUGUCUUUCAAAUUCAGAGUGAAAUGAGGUGACACAUUUUCUCAGGGGUUAUUGAAGGAGUGAUGUGGUGUGCUAAUAUUCACCCAGAGAGACAAAGAAGCACACUUCAAAGAAGUCUCGUUGUGCCCAAGGUUGUGAUUUAGCCUCAUUUCCUUCUCUAAUGGAAAUGUCAAACAGCUAAUGCUUACUGUAUGACUAGUAUGGACCGUAAUGCUUUCUCUCUCCCUGUCGGUCUCUGUCUCUGUCCCCUCUCUUCUAUAGGCAUAUGAGGUGGAGGACCUGACUGCAACAGACAUCCCCUGACUGCUCUGUGUGUCUAGACACAACACCUACAGAUGCUGCUGGCUUUAGGAGGAGGGCUUGGUGGCUCCCACCCCUAAAGGCACUAAAUGGGGUCUAGCUGGUUCCAGUGUGAACGUGGGCAGUAUUCCCAGGAACCUCCUGCACCAAGCCUCUGCUGGGAAAAGCCCUCCAGGAUGCCCGGAAGUACGGCUGGAGGUUUGAGUAACAGGUGUCCCAUGGCUGGGGUGAAAUGGUGGAGGCGGUACAACAACGUGAAGUCUGUGAGCUUCGAGCUGAGGAGGGAGCUGAGGGACAGUGACGUCACCUACCUGAACACCCAUGGAGAGAUACUGGAGCCACACACUGUACAGGAGCGUGUGGUAGGUCUCCAUUUGAUGGGGCCCAGUGCAGGGGAGGUGAUCCAGGGCUUUGCUGUGGCUCUGAGGUGUGGUCUGAUCAAACAGCAGCUGGACAAGACUUUGGGACACCUCUGUGGGACUCCACUCUGUUUGUGCCCAGGUGUUGACCAAACUGACAGUAACUCAGCGUGCCACUGACACCAUGAUGGUCAGAGGGAACUGCUGAGGUUAGCCCCCUGCUGUCAAUCACUGUUGUCCAAGGCAACGGUACAGAUAGCAGGGAGAAGCCAGUCAGAACAUCCUCAUUGUUGUGUGACGGGCAGCUAUCAGCCGUCUAAUGACCUCUGAGUCCGGAGCCUGAUUGACAGGUGGGCGGGGACUGACACUGUUGCUGCUGGCCCUAGACACUGGGGUCACUUCCUGUUUACAUGUUUUUUUCUUCUCUUUUAAACUCUUUCUUUUGCCAUAUUAAUGAACCAAACUUUGAUAUUAACCUGCGGAGGCACCUCUGACACUUUUCAGCUGUGAACUCUGCAGUCCAUAUGAAUACUCAUUAGUCUGUGACUGUACUGACUCAGUUUAAUGGCUGCUGAGUAGCGAUAAAGCCCUGAUUGAGCAUUUAAAUACUGUAGAAACACAGUUCAUGCUUUUAUGCAGGGUUCUGUAGCUAUGGGCUGAAGGGAUUUAAGUGCCAUAAUGUAAUGUACUGAACAGAUCGAGAUUAAACUAUUAUCAGAAUGAAGAAAUAUUCAUUAAUAAAAUGCUCUUACUUUUAAUUAAAGUAAGUGGUUCACAUAGGGAUACAUUAACCUAAGAUUACAAUCUCUUUUUCUCUCUCUCUCACUAUCUCCAUUUGUCAUUCUCUCUGUCUCAGUUCUGCAGGACAUAGUGACUGACUUAAACACUGUGAUGAAUAUUCACAGGGAUCAUUAGUAAGGUCUCUCAUACUAAUGGGAGGCUACAACACCUAGAAUGAUAUAUAACCCCCCCCCCCCUAAUAAGGCUAUUAUCAUCCAUCACUUCAGACACAAAUGUUACCUACAAUUCAGACUAAGCACGUGUGUGUGCAUGUGUUUGCGCUGUUUCUCUCUCUUUUAUGCAGAUACUUUUUCACCUGUCAGCACAUAAUCACCAGGAUAUGUCCCCGUGGAACAUUGUAGAGGCAUGCUUCACUAACUAUUAGUUCUGCUUGAGGAAGACAUGUUUUAUUACUGCUUACAGUACAGCUUGUCCUCUAGACAACCGUGCUGUUUAUUCCUUAUGCAGACACAUUGAGCAUUCAGAGACUGAGACUGAUGUACCAAUAAGGGAAAGUACACCAGUCUACAAACGCUAUUAGAAUAUAAUUAGAUCAAUAGGAGGAAAGCAGAACAGUUUCUGUCUGGAGAUGUAUUUGAUAUCACCCAGAACAAGUUAUUAGGAAUUACCAUUCAUCUAUGUCUUCAAUUGUCCUAGUUAUGAUCAUAUAACGAUACAUUGAUUCACAUGUUUGUCACUUUGCUUUGGGAUCUUUUCAGAAGUUGUUUCCAUUGGUUUUUAGAAUAGAUCACUGUGGACUUGCUCAAUAAAGAUCCACAGUGAAGGUGUCCUAAUACCCAUAAAACCUAGCAGUCAAACAGGAAAAUGGUUCCAAUCGUUUUUUCCACCAUUCAUUUUUCCCAUUGUGGUUUUUAGAAACACUUAAAAUAAAGGCUGUGUUUCAUGUAGACUUACCAUGGCAUGACAUUUUGAUAACCAUGUAAAUCUCUUUCAGACAAGCCCCAUAUUUUUUGGGGUGGGGGGGGUUGCCUGUUUUGCAUGUUAUUUUGGCAUUAAUAUGUGUCACAUAUCAGUUUGCAAACAAUGUAAAAGAAAAUAUAGAAAUAUCAUUGAGUUAAUAAAGCUGCAUACAAACAUAGUCUCUUUUU
rnacentral:lncRNA from 1 species